rnacentral:lncRNA from 1 species
CUGGGAUCCUUUCCAAACUUGAGAUACUCUGAUUAACGUCGCCAUUUUUUACAGAUGAGGAAACUUGGGCUUGGCAUGGUUAAAUGGCUUUGCACAGACCCUACAUCAGUGAAGUGGCAGAGAUGAGCCGAGGACCUAUGUUUGUCUCCUAGGGGUAUUGGGAGGACCAAAUAACUUCUUCGGAAAUAUUAAGGCAUCAUAUAAUCAUCAGUUUGGAAGUCUGUGGGACAUAGGAUCCAGGAAAAGGAAAAGAAGGAAGAAAAAGAGGAAGAUGAUGGUGGUGGUGAUAUCUCAAGAGACAAUCCUCACAGUGACUCUGCAGGAUGAGCACUAUAGAUAUUAUUCUUGACAUUCUCCAGAAAAGGAAGCUUAGACUCAA